UCUUUCAGCUGAUGAUAAACCGAAAUCAUGCAUAGUUCACACUGAAACUACCGUGUUGAAAAACAUUCAUCUAACGUCUUUCGCUCCUAUCUGAUCUUCACCU
rfam:Moniliophthora perniciosa FA553 Contig8292, whole genome shotgun sequence.